AUUGAACGCUGGCGGCAGGCCUAACACAUGCAAGUCGAGCGGAUGAAGGGAGCUUGCUCCUGGAUUCAGCGGCGGACGGGGUGAGUAAUGCCUAGGAAUCUGCCUGGUAGUGGGGGAUAACGUCCGGAAACGGGCGCUAAUACCGCAUACGUCCUGAGGGAGAAAGUGGGGGAUCUUCGGACCUCACGCUAUCAGAUGAGCCUAGGUCGGAUUAGCUAGUUGGUGGGGUAAAGGCCUACCAAGGCGACGAUCCGUAACUGGUCUGAGAGGAUGAUCAGUCACACUGGAACUGAGACACGGUCCAGGCUCCUACGGGAGGCAGCAGUGGGGAAUAUUGGACAAUGGGCGAAAGCCUGAUCCAGCCAUGCCGCGUGUGUGAAGAAGGUCUUCGGAUUGUAAAGCACUUUAAGUUGGGAGGAAGGGCAGUAAGUUAAUACCUUGCUGUUUUGACGUUACCAACAGAAUAAGCACCGGCUAACUUCGUG
rnacentral:rRNA from 1 species